UAACCUGCCGCGGACUGAGCCAGGCUUCUCCCUUCAUCCCUCUCCUAGCCAUCAGCACCGCCGCAUCAACCAGUAGGGGGCUGAGUCGCCGGCGCCUCCGCAGCCUGCAAGAUAAGAAUCUAAUGUGCGAAUACAAGCACCGUGCGCAGCCGUCCGGCGAGCUACAGCAUGCUGCACGUAGCUAGCUAACACAUGAGCGUACAAACGUACAAAUACACGUGUGGAGGACAUGGACGCUCAGGGCCGCAAGACGCGCUGCAAGGUACUAGGCCGCCGCUGACUACCACUACGUGGGGAACGCCGCUGUGUAGUUUUGUCCAAGAAUCAAACCGUUAAAAGGUUGAGUAGGCCGGGGUCCACAUGUCAGAAUCCACCUCGGAUUAGCAGUUCGACUGCCCCCACGGGCCACGGCCACGGUUCGGCAUGGGAAAGGAUAAAAGAAGGGCAAAGCAGCCUAGCAGCGUGUCUGCUUUCGGAACGGUAUCAAACAACCCACCCGGCCGCCGCCGCGCCGCCACGGUUUCGGGAGAGCCGAGAGGGCCGGAGAGAUACGGCCGGGUUCCGCGCCGUCGGCGACCGCUCCUCAGCCAUUUCUCGGUAGAAAAGUGAGACCUCAAAUGGGCCACACUCCGAGGAGGUUGGUUUCUGCACUGUAUUCAAAGCCACCCUGGGUGCCUGUAGAAGUGAGGAUUGAUCAGAAAUGGAAACGAGCCAACGUUUUGAGACAAGCUGAUCGUUGCGGACUCUGUCUUGUGCGUGUGAGGGGGGGCGAUCCUGAGCCUAUCAUGGUGCCAUUGUCAACGAUCAGAAUACCUACGAACCCCCCGGUUGCAAAGCGAAGACUGGACACUCGCCCUCAGAUGCAGGUGAAGAAGCCCAGGGUUGAAAGUGACGUCGAAGAUGGUAACGAGUAGGCUGCUGAGUGUUCAUUCAUCGUUGUGUUGGCUUGAUUUGUUGUAAGAUGGAUAAUAAGUUACGGUAGCAAACACAUUCGUUUUCUUCACCAACGUAUUAAAGGAUGCUGUGAAGUGUGGUUUUGUCAGGAGAAAAUGUUUGAAAGUAUUGUAAAAGCAUGUACAAUGCAAGAUGUCUAGGUGGUUACUUAGAAAAAUUAACCGGUUUUUGUUAAGCACUGAUGCUUAUUUAGACUAAGCAGAUGCCUAACUUAGCACCUCCUCUGUACAAAUAAGCACCGGUGCUUAAAAAAGUGAUUGGUUUAUUUUCGUAAA